CGGGUCGGGCGAUCGCGCGGUAUCACGCCGAAAGGUAUUACCGUGAGGAAAGUCCGGGCUUCACAGGGCAGGAUAACGGAUAACGUCCGCCGAGGGCGACCUCCGGGAAAGUGCAACAGAGAUAUACCGCAGAGCAUAUCGUUCUGUAAGGGUGGAAAGGCGAGGUAAGAGCUCACCCGAGCUUAUGGCAACAUAGGCCCGCUGUAAACCCUAUCCGAAGCAACGCCUAUGGGAUCCGCGCUUUGGCGCGGCUGUCUGCCCGGCAGAUCCCAUUGAUUGCGGCAAGCGGCUCUGCCCGCUGAGCGCGUCGGCGACGGCGCGCCUAAGAUAGAUGAUCGUCCGCGACAGAACCCGGCUUACAGACCCGGUC
rnacentral:RNase_P_RNA from 1 species